rnacentral:rRNA from 1 species
CCACGCCGUAAAUGGUGAGUGCUAGGUGUCGGGAGUCAAAUCUCGGUGCCGACGUUAACACAUUAAGCACUCCGCCUGGGGAGUACGCACGCAAGUGUGAAACUCAAAGGAAUUGACGGGGACCCGCACAAGCAGCGGAGCAUGUGGUUUAAUUCGACGCAACGCGAAGAACCUUACCAAGUCUUGACAUAUUUCGGCGAUUAAUAGAGAUAUUAAUCUAUGACUUCGGUCAACUGAAAUACAGGUGGUGCAUGGUUGU